GAGGGGGAUCGUCAAAUACUGGAUUGGGCUGAGACAAAAUGCAACCAGUUGGAACUGGGUCAAUGUUACGGCACUGGGAGAGAGUUUUUGGGCAGAAAGAAAGUCUGAGGGGGAUUGUGGGAUCCUGAACACCUAUGAACCCCCUGAGAAGAACUGGAUCAAAGCGUCUUGUAAGGCCGCCACCUACUUCAUCUGUCAGAGGCAACUUUAAAAUGAUUUGUACAGAACUUGGAGCAAACCAAU